AGGUUGCCUGAAAGUUUUUCAAUUUUGCCGCCGGCUGCUUUUAUAGUGAAAAGACGCAUCGCAUGUGAUUCGUUUGGACGCUCGCGAAAUAUAUAUAAUGAGCUGUGAUAUACACUUAUUUAAUGCAAAUAUCCAGUAUUCUUCGCAAUAUGCUUCAACGGAGAGGCCAUUCAGUUGACACAACAAGUGUAUAUGUGUAAUCUAUUAAAGACUUGAUAUACAUGUUGCGUACGAAACGGUGAUUUAUGAAAAAGCUGUGACACCUUGCGAUUUACGCUUUAAACUUCUCUACUGAUCACAAGGCAAAUUUAGAAGACAAUAUGCGACAACAUUUACACCCACAGCUAGACCAAGUUAGCAAACAAUAGCUUUGUCGUAUGUGAAUGGCGUUCAGUCAGUGAGAAAAUUUUCCAUUGGAGGUUAAGUUUAGCCUCGGCACCAGUCCAUUCUCUCUGUUCCGAGACUUCUUGUUCGGUGAAGUGGACGUGCUCGGAUUCGAUUUCUUGACGCAUGUAGGUCAUUACGAACCGGAAGUAUGGUUGUCCAAACACUUGUUUCCAAAUCAUUUAC